rnacentral:rRNA from 1 species
CGCGUAGGCGGAUUGGAAAGUUGGGGGUGAAAUCCCGGGGCUCAACCCCGGAACUGCCUCCAAAACUCCCAGUCUUGAGUUCGAGAGAGGUGAGUGGAAUUCCGAGUGUAGAGGUGAAAUUCGUAGAUAUUCGGAGGAACACCAGUGGCGAAGGCGGCUCACUGGCUCGAUACUGACGCUGAGGUGCGAAAGUGUGGGGAGCAAACA